AUACGUAGGGAGCGAGCGUUGUCCGGAAUUACUGGGCGUAAAGGGCGCGUAGGCGGCGCUUCAAGUCGUCUGUCAAAUGUGAGGGCUUAACCCUUUUUCGCAGACGAAACUGGAGAGCUUGAGAAGCAGAGAGGCAAACAGAAUUCCUGGUGUAGCGGUGAAAUGCGUAGAUAUCAGGAAGAAUACCAGUGGCGAAGGCGGUUGGCUGGCUGCAUACUGACGCUGAAGCGCGAAAGCCAGGGGAGCAAACGGGAUUAGAUACCCGGGUAGUCCUGGCCGUAAACGAUGUGGACUUGGUGUUGGGAUGGCCUCGAGCUGCCCCAGUGCCGAAGGGAAGCUGUUAAGUCCACCGCCUGGGAAGUACGGUCGCAAGACUGAAACUCAAAGGAAUUGACGGGG
rnacentral:rRNA from 1 species